CGGACGGGUGAGUAACACGUAGAGAACCUACCUUACACAGGGGGACAACGGCUGGAAACGGCUGCUAAUACCGCAUAAGCACCCAGUUUCGCAUGAAACAGAGUGAAAAGAGUAAAUCGGUGUAAGAUGGCUCUGCGUCUGAUUAGCUAGUUGGUGGGGUAAAGGCUCACCAAGGCGACGAUCAGUAGCCGGCCUGAGAGGACGACCGGCCACAUUGGGACUGAGACACGGCCCAGACUCCUACGGGAGGCAGCAG
rnacentral:rRNA from 1 species